rnacentral:rRNA from 1 species
GAAUCCGUAGGUGAACCUGCGGAGGGAUCAUUACAGAGAAGCGUGGCGCCCCCGGGCGCCGCGUUCCCUCCAACCCUCUGUGAACACAACUUGUUGCUUCGGGGGCGACCCUGCCGUUUCGACGGCGAGCGCCCCCGGAGGCCCUCCAACACUGCAUCUCUGCGUCGGAGUUUAAGUAAAUUAAACAAAACUUUCAACAACGGAUCUCUUGGUUCUGGCAUCGAUGAAGAACGCAGCGAAAUGCGAUAAGUAAUGUGAAUUGCAGAAUUCAGUGAAUCAUCGAAUCUUUGAACGCACAUUGCGCCCUCUGGUAUUCCGGAGGGCAUGCCUGUUCGAGCGUCAGUACAACCACUCAAGCCUGGCUUGGUGUUGGGCGCCGCGGUGUUCCGCGCGCCUCAAAGUCUCCGGCUGAGCCGUCCGUCUCCAAGCGUUGUGAUCUUCAGAAUCGCUUCGGGGCGCGGGCGGUCGCGGCCGUUAAAUCUUGCACACGGUUGACCUCGGAUCAGGUAGGGAUACCC